rnacentral:tRNA from 1 species
CGGUGUGGCUCAGUGGUAGAGCAGUUGAUUCGUAAUCAACAGGUCGAGGGUCCGAUCCCCUCCACCG